GCUGGGCACAGUGGCGCAUGCCUGUAGUCCUAGCUACUUGGGAGGCUGAGGUGGGAGGAUUGCUUGAGCCUGGGAGGUCAAGACUGCAGUGAGCUGUGAUUGCAUCACUGCACUCCAGCCUGGGCGACAAAGCAAGACCCUGUCUCAA
rnacentral:SRP_RNA from 1 species